UGUGCUCCAGACAUCAGCGCACAGAACUUCACCUGUGCGCCAGACACUGUCGGCGACCACACCACAAGAUGGGCGCCAAACUACAGCUCCUGCGCGCAGGUCAUCACCAGAUCGUCGUCUCUCCAGGAGCUCUGGGACUGUGACUGAAGAGCCUCAAGACACAACCCUUGUGGACCCAUCACCCGAUCUGUUUGAGUCUACAGGGUUAACAGACGAGACUUUUCUUGGGUUUGAGGACAGCCGUGCAGACGUAUCCAGCCAGACCCUUGAAAAGUCUUCAGAAACGAGGACAAGUGAAGCUCCUGGAGCAGCGGCAUCACAGGAUGGAGAAGUGGUGCCACGGACCAGCAGCGGACUAGCUUCGGGAUUGGUUCCUACUUCAGGCCGGAUCUCCUCAUACAGGAUUCAUCAGAGGAUGACGAGGUGGAAGUGCAGGAGGCUGCAGUUGCUACAUCCCUGUCUGCCCAAAUCCAAGUGGUGGCAGACAUCCAGGAAGGGCAGAAUCCCUCAACUGUUCAGAGGGUUCACACCCUGGCAUCAGAGAUUGGGACACGCCAGGAUACAUACACAAAUGUCGUGGGAAGCAGACUGGACAAUAUUGAGAGGACAAUGGAGAAAAUGUCAAACAGUCUGCUUGAACUGCAAAAGACUCUUUCCGACAGCACGGCCACAAUACUACAGGUCAGAAUAC